GGGCAUGUCUUUGACGUACUAUGUACUGAAAGAUGGACUGCUCAGUAAUACUCACUUUAUUUGAUGUACAUUAUACAUAACUACGUUAAAGUGUAGCUAACAUAUGUACAGUAAGAGUGAGACCUAUCAGCUAGUUGUUAAGGUAAUGGCUUAACAAGGCAAUAACGGGUAACGGUAUUACUUUGUAAUAUUCCGGAGAAGGAGCCUGAGAGACGGCUACUAAGUCUAAGGAUUGCAGCAGGGGCGAAACUUGACCUAUGGAUAUUAUCUGAGGCAGUUAUGGGAAGUAACAUAGUUGUUUCACAUUUUAAACGCC
rnacentral:rRNA from 1 species